UAAAUCAGUUAUCGUUUAUUUGAUAGUACCUUACUACUUGGAUAACCGUGGUAAUUCUAGAGCUAAUACAUGCUGAAAACCCCGACUUCGGGAGGGGUGUAUUUAUUAGAUAAAAAACCAACGCCCUUCGGGGCUUCUUGGUGAUUCAUGAUAACUUAACGAAUCGCAUGGCCUUGCGCCGGCGAUGGUUCAUUCAAAUUUCUGCCCUAUCAACUUUCGAUGGUAGGAUAGUGGCCUACCAUGGUAUCAACGGGUAACGGGGAAUUAGGGUUCUAUUCCGGAGAGGGAGCCUGAGAAACGGCUACCACAUCCAAGGAAGGCAGCAGGCGCGCAAAUUACCCAAUCCCGACACGGGGAGGUAGUGACAAUAAAUACUGAUACAGGGCUCUUUUGGGUCUUGUAAUUGGAAUGAGUACAAUUUAAAUCCCUUAACGAGGAACAAUUGGAGGGCAAGUCUGGUGCCAGCAGCCGCGGUAAUUCCAGCUCCAAUAGCGUAUAUUAAAGUUGUUGCAGUUAAAAAGCUCGUAGUUGAACCUUGGGCCUGGCUGGCCGGUCCGCCUCACCGCGUGCACUGGUCCGGCCGGGCCUUUCCUUCUGGGGAGCCGCAUGCCCUUCACUGGGUGUGUCGGGGAACCAGGACUUUUACUUUGAAAAAAUUAGAGUGUUCAAAGCAGGCCUUUGCUCGGAUACAUUAGCAUGGAAUAAUAGAAUAGGACGUGCGGUCCUAUUUUGUUGGUUUCUAGGACCGCCGUAAUGAUUAAUAGGGAUAGUCGGGGGCAUCAGUAUUCAAUUGUCAGAGGUGAAAUUCUUGGAUUUAUUGAAGACUAACUACUGCGAAAGCAUUUGCCAAGGAUGUUUUCAUUAAUCAGUGAACGAAAGUUAGGGGAUCGAAGACGAUCAGAUACCGUCGUAGUCUUAACCGUAAACUAUGCCGACUAGGGAUCGGGCGAUGUUAUCAUUUUGACUCGCUCGGCACCUUACGAGAAAUCAAAGUC
rnacentral:rRNA from 1 species